rnacentral:lncRNA from 1 species
UCACGUGUGGAAAAUCCAUUGCUAACAAUGGUGAAGACGAAGAGUAAUCUAUUAUAUGUGUUUACAUUUUUUUGGGGCAUCGAUCAACUUUUGAAGGGAAUUCAAAAGUUGAUUUUUGUGUUCAUGUGUUAUUGUUUCUCUGGCUUAUUGUGUCGAUUUAAGCAUGUGGUAGAUGAAUUUGUUAACCACAUCUCCUCCAUUCCCGGCACAUAGAGAAGGGGACGAAUCUAGGGUUUUGGAGAGACGAACCCAUCCCCGGAGCAUAGAGAAGGAGACGAAUCUAGGGCUUUGAAGAUACAAAAUGGAGAAGACGAAUAAUGGGUCUACAGGUUCGUAACAAUGGCUUUUUUUCUAUAUUCUUUGGACGAUUGCUUGAAUUUGGCGAAAAGAACCGAUCUUCAAUCCCUCUCGCUUUCUUUCUUAAAUUGGUUGAAAUGAGUGAAAAAUCUGCAUCUGUCUGAUUCGUAAUGUUGUUUAUUGACAUUCGUAAUGAGAUUUUAGGUGUUAUUUGGUUGCUAUUUGGUAUAAAAUAGUCCUUUUAUGCUUACCAUAUGAUGCGUGAUUUGAUAUAUAGAGAUUCGUAACUUAGAUUCGUAGUUUGAUAUAUUGAGAUUUGUAAUUUGGUUCUACAUGUCAUUGUCAGAUAUUCUAUGUGGAUAAGAUUCGUUGGGCAAAUUGCAAUGUGCGUAGGGAUUUUCCACUUUUUAGGAAUUGAAGUAGCAAGCAACUUAGAAAUUGGGAGACAAAUGAAAUUAAUUAUGGUGGAUUUGGUGAUGGUGUGUUGCUGGAACCAAUUCCUUCACCUGAGGUCCCGAGGUCGUCGCCAUCGGCAAAGUUGGAGAAGAUGGUAGAGGUUUAUGUGAAGAAUAGUGAUAAUAUGCUGCAUUUUAUAAACUCAGUUGAUGUUACGCUACUUGAGGAUCAUAUGUUGCAUUUUAUAAACUCAGUUGAUGUUGCGCUACUUGAGGAUGAAUGUUUCAUAUUAUAAACUCAUUUGAUGCUGAAACAUUUGAUUUGUACUGAAUAAAUAAAUCAUUGUUAAUUGUUGGUGGUUGAUUGUUUUAUAUUAAUU